GAGCUUGCUCCUCUGGAUCAGUGGCGAACGGGUGAGUAACACGUGAGUAACCUGCCCUUGACUCUGGGAUAAGCACUGGAAACGGUGUCUAAUACCGGAUACGAGCUUCAGCCGCAUGGCUAGGAGCUGGAAAGAAUUUCGGUCAAGGAUGGACUCGCGGCCUAUCAGCUAGUUGGUGAGGUAAUGGCUCACCAAGGCGACGACGGGUAGCCGGCCUGAGAGGGUGACCGGCCACACUGGGACUGAGACACGGCCCAGACUCCUACGGGAGGCAGCAGUGGGGAAUAUUGCACAAUGGGCGCAAGCCUGAUGCAGCAACGCCGCGUGAGGGACGACGGCCUUCGGGUUGUAAACCUCUUUUAGUAGGGAAGAAGCGAAAGUGACGGUACCUGCAGAAAAAGCACCGGCUAACUACGUGCCAGCAGCCGCGGUAAUACGUAGGGUGCAAGCGUUAUCCGGAAUUAUUGGGCGUAAAGAGCUCGUAGGCGGUUUGUCGCGUCUGCUGUGAAAACUGGAGGCUCAACCUCCAGCCUGCAGUGGGUACGGGCAGACUAGAGUGCGGUAGGGGAGAUUGGAAUUCCUGGUGUAGCGGUGGAAUGCGCAGAUAUCAGGAGGAACACCGAUGGCGAAGGCAGAUCUCUGGGCCGUAACUGACGCUGAGGAGCGAAAGCAUGGGGAGCGAACAGGAUUAGAUACCCUGGUAGUCCAUGCCGUAAACGUUGGGAACUAGAUGUAGGGGCCAUUCCACGGCUUCUGUGUCGCAGCUAACGCAUUAAGUUCCCCGCCUGGGGAGUACGGCCGCAAGGCUAAAACUCAAAGGAAUUGACGGGGGCCCGCACAAGCGGCGGAGCAUGCGGAUUAAUUCGAUGCAACGCGAAGAACCUUACCAAGGCUUGACAUAUACCGGAAAAGUUCAGAAAUGUUCUCCCCGCAAGGCCGGUAUACAGGUGGUGCAUGGUUGUCGUCAGCUCGUGUCG
rnacentral:rRNA from 1 species